rnacentral:rRNA from 1 species
AUUGAACGCUGGCGGCAGGCCUAACACAUGCAAGUCGAACGGUAACAGGAAGAAGCUUGCUUCUUUGCUGACGAGUGGCGGACGGGUGAGUAAUGUCUGGGAAACUGCCUGAUGGAGGGGGAUAACUACUGGAAACGGUAGCUAAUACCGCAUAACGUCGCAAGACCAAAGAGGGGGACCUUCGGGCCUCUUGCCAUCGGAUGUGCCCAGAUGGGAUUAGCUAGUAGGUGGGGUAACGGCUCACCUAGGCGACGAUCCCUAGCUGGUCUGAGAGGAUGACCAGCCACACUGGAACUGAGACACGGUCCAGACUCCUACGGGAGGCAGCAGUGGGGAAUAUUGCACAAAGGGCGCAAGCCUGAUGCAGCCAUGCCGCGUGUAUGAAGAAGGCCUUCGGGUUGUAAAGUACUUUCAGCGGGGAGGAAGGGAGUAAAGUUAAUACCUUUGCUCAUUGACGUUACCCGCAGAAGAAGCACCGGCUAACCCCGUG